GACAGAGGGGGCGAGCGUUGUCCGGAGUCACUGGGCGUAAAGCGCGCGCAGGCGGUCGCCAAAGUGUCGUGUGAAAGCCCCCGGCUCAACCGGGGGAGGCCAUGGCAAACUCGGCGGCUGGAGCGGCGGAGAGGCCCCUCGAAUUGCCGGUGUAGCGGUGAAAUGCGUAGAGAUCGGCAGGGAGACCAAGGGGGAAACCAGGGGGCUGGCCGCUGGCUGACGCUGAGGCGCGACAGCGUGGGGAGCGAACCGG
rnacentral:rRNA from 1 species